AUCCAGCGGACGGGUCCCAAACAGGACGAAACACGCGUCCUGGAU
rnacentral:hammerhead_ribozyme from 1 species